rnacentral:lncRNA from 10 species
CUUGAAUCUCUAUUUUAUGGUAGAAAUACAGACAAAAGGACUCUAGCUCAAGUUCAGAUGCCUACAUCCAUCUCUGGUUAAUAUAACAAUAGAAGGAAGUUAGCAUGUCUGCCCAGCUGUCCCUUCAAAGGACCAUCUGAAACAGAAAUAUCAAAGGACAUCUGUGAAACAAAAUUUGAGCAUCUUAUUUUACCUAAUUAACCCAGGCUUUGUGGAAGCAACAAAGAACAUGAAGAAAGAUUUCUCUUCUUCCACUGGUACCACUCAACUCCUUCAAUAAAGACAAACAAAAGAAAUGAAAGGAGAAGAUAGAGGGGAAACCCAAGUUCGAAUCCCAGCUCCUCUACUUACCAGCCACGUGACUUUGGGGCAGGCUCAGCGCCCUCAAGGAUCUACAGAGAAUCUUGUAUCUGAGAAGACAGAACUCCAAAGCAGAGGCGUGCAGAGGGCCAAAGGCUGUCACACACGGGACAGAAGGCACCGUCUUCAAUGUCCACCAUCUUUGAUCCUUGGUCACUGAAGAAGAGGCUCACAUUUUCAACUCAGCUAUGCAGAUCUCGCAGGAUUGUAUCUCAACCACCUAGUUCCCACAGCUGGAAUGUAUAUCAUUUAUUUUUAAAAUGUUUCUGAAGCACCUGUUAUAUUCCUGGCCCUAUGUAGAUCAAGCCAGGACUGCUGGGUGGAAGGCAGAGAAGGGAGUGCUCAGAACGAAUGCCCGUGUUCUGUUUCCUGCUCACCAUCCAUUCUGUGUCAUUCUGGAGAACAGAGACUGCAUCAAAGACCAAGACAGGGAAGUAAAUUACACAAAACAACAAGGUUUUUCCAUUUGGACAACUGAAUCAUGAAAGCUACCUACAGUUGAAAUAUGAAAAAGACUGAUGGAGUCUGCAAGGCAAAACUG